GUUUGAAUGAGGAAAGGCUUACAAUGGAUACCUAGGCACCCAAAGACAAGAAAGGGCAUAGUAAGCAACAAAAUGCUGUAAGGUGUUAAAAAUAAGCGUACAUUCGGAGAUUCCUGAAUAGGUCAACUUUUCAAACUACUGUUGAAUCCAUGGGCUAGCAAGAGACAACCUGACAAAUUGAAACAUCUUAGUAGCUAGAGGAAAAGAAAGCAAAAGCGAUUCCAUAGUAGCGGUGAGCAAAAUGCAAGUAGCCUAAACCAUGAAAACAAGAAUGCGGGAGAGCAAUAUAAGCAUCAUGCUACUAGGUGAAUUAAUGGAAUGCUGCACUCUAAAUGAUGAGAAUCUAGUAGCUGAAAGUAUCACUAGCUUAUACUUUGACUCAAGUAGCAUGGGGCAUGUGGAAUCCUAUGUAAAUCAGUAAGAACCACAUUACAAUGCUAAGUACUCUUGGGUGACCCAUAGCGAAGUAAUGCCAUGAGGAAAGGGUGGAAAGAACUUUAUUGAGGAGUGAAAUAGAACAUGAAAUCAAAAACUCCCAAGUAGUGGGAGAAGACUACUAGGACUCUAACCGCAUGCCUAUUGAAGAAUGAGUCAGCGACUCAUAGGCAAUAGCUUGGUUAAGGGAACCCACCAGAGCUAUAGUGAAAGUGAGUCUUCAUCAAGCAAUUAUCAUUACUUAUGGACCUGAAUCUAGGUGAUUUAUCCAUGACCAGGAUGAAGCUUGCGUGAAACCAAGCGAAGGUCCGAACCAACUGAUGUUGAAGAAUCAACAAAUAAGUUGUAGUUAGGGGUGAAUGCCACUCAAACUUAGAGCUAGCUACUUCUCCUCAAAAUGUGUUAAGGCGCAACAAUUGACCCGACAUCUAGAGGUAAAGCACUGUUUAAGUGCAGGCAAUGAGAGCGGAAUCAAAUCGAGGCAAACUUUGAAUACUAGAUAUGACCUCCAAAUAAUAGGGGUCAAGGUCGACCAAUGAGACGAUGGGAGAUAAUCUUCAUCGUUGAGAGGAAAACAACCCAGAUCACUAGCUAAGGCCCUUAAAUGAACACUCAAUGAUAAAGGAGGUACGGGUGCAAAGACAACCAGGAGUUUGCUUAGAAGUAGCUACAAUUAAAACGGUACGCAAUAGCUUACUAAUUUAGUGCUCUUACGUUGAAGAUGAAAAGGGCUAAGCGAUCUGCUGAAGCUAUGGGAUGUUAAAAUACAUUAGUAGGGGAGCGUUCUGCCUUAGAGGGAAGCAUCCACGAGAGCAAGGAUGGAUGAAGCAAAAGCUAGAAUGUCAACUUGAGUAAUGCAAACAUUGGUAACAAUCCUAUACCCUGAAAACCUAAGGGUUCCUAUGCAAGGUUCGUCCACAAAGGGUGAGUUAAGACAUAAGGUCAAGCCAAAAUGCAUAGUUGAUGGACAACAGGUGAAUAUUCCUAUACUACCCCUUGUUGGUUCCAAGGGAUGAAGGAGGCUAGAUUAGCCAAAAGAUGGUUAUCAAUUCAAGGAUGCAAGGUGCCAUUGCUUUUUCAAAAUAAGAAGGGAUAGAGAAAAUGUCCCGAGCUAAUGUUCGAGUACCAAGUGCUGCCAAGCCGAAGUAACCCAUGCCAUACUCCCACGAAAAGCUCGAACAACCUUCAACAAAAUGGUACUUGUAUCUAAAACCAACACAGGUGGGUAGGUAUAGCAUACAUAAGGGCACGAGACAACUCUCUCUAAGGAACUCGGCAAAAUAGCCUCAUCACUUUGGAAGAAGGGGUGCCUCCUCACAAAGGGAGUCGCAGUGACCAAGCCUAAGAGAUUGUUUACCAAAAACAUAGGUCUUUGCAAAGUCUAAGACCAUGUGUAGGGGCUGACACCAACCUAGUGUCGGAAGGUCAAGGAAGUUGGUGACCUAAUGAUAGUAAAGCCAGUGACCGAAGCCCCAGUGAAUAGCAAUCAUAACUAUAACAGUCCUAAAUUAGUGAAAUUCCUUGUCAUAUAAGUUCCGACCUGCACGAAAGGUGUAACGAUCUAGGUACCAUCUCGGAGAGAAACUUGUGAAAUAGACAUGUUUGUGAAGAUGCGGAGUACCUACACCUGGAUAGAAAGAACUUAUGAAGCUUUACUAUUCCCUAAGAUUGACUUUGGGCAUUUCCUACACAGCUUAGUUGGAAGGUGAAGAAGGCUUCCUUCUUUAGGGACCGAGCCAUUAGUGAGACACCAUUCUAGAAGAGUUAGAAUUAUAAGCUUGUGCUAGGACCUACGAGGUAAGGGAGAGUCUUCUAUAGACAAUUUCUAUGGGGUGUAGUCCUCCCAAAGGUAACGGAGGCAUGCAAAGGUUUUCUCGGGUCGGAUAGAGAUUAGCCCUCGAGUGCAGAGGUGGAAAGGAGCUUGAGUGCAAGACCCAACCAUCGAGCAGGGAUGAAAAUCAGUCUUAGUGAUCCAACAAUGCCGAGUGGAAAGCCAUUGCUCAACAGAUAAAAUUUAUUCUGGGGAUGACAGACUAAUCUUCCCCAAGAGUUCAUAUCAACGAGAAGGUUUGGCACCUCAAUGUCGACUCUUUACCACCUGGGGUUGUAAUAUAUUCCAACGAUUGGGGUGUUCGUCCAUUAAAAUGGCACAUGAACUCAAUUUGGAAUGUCGUGAGAUAGUUCAAUCCAUGUUCGAUGCGAUCAUUAGAGCAUUGAGAAGACAUUUCCCCAGUAUGAAAGGACUAGGAAGGAUGCACCUCUGGUUUACCAAUUAUCAUGAUUACGGUAAACGCUAAGUAGUCAAGUAUGGAGUGGAUACCUGCUAAAAGUAUCUAAGUAGUAAGCUCACCCCCAAGAUAAGUACUCUCCUAUUUUGACUUUUCUGGAGCCUUUGGUAGCACUAUCAAGACAGCGAUGGGUUCUCUGCUCUAUAAGGAUGGAGCAACAAAAGUUUUGAGAAUUCAAGAGAAGAUCACGGCGAAACAAACUAUUUAUCAUUAUGAUAAGUGUCAAGUGGAAGUGCAGUGUUAUAUACAGCUGAUGCAUCCUAACAAGCCGGUAGACUUAAACUU
rfam:Eucalyptus grandis cultivar BRASTZ1 unplaced genomic scaffold scaffold_9, whole genome shotgun sequence.